AACGAACGCUGGCGGCACGCCUAACACAUGCAAGUCGAACGAGAGCAUACUUUCGGGUAUGUUUCUAGUGGCGGACGGGUGAGUAACGCGUGGGUAUCUGCCUCAAGGUGGGGGAUAACUGUUGGAAACGACAGCUAAUACCGCAUGAUCCCGUAAGGGCAAAGAUUUAUCGCCUUGAGAGGAGCCCGCGUCGGAUUAGGUAGUUGGUAGGGUAACGGCCUACCAAGCCGAUGAUCCGUAACUGGUCUGAGAGGAUGACCAGUCACACUGGGACUGAGACACGGCCCAGACUCCUACGGGAGGCAGCAGUGGGGAAUCUUGGACAAUGGGGGCAACCCUGAUCCAGCGAUGCCGCGUGAGUGAAGAAGGCCUUAGGGUUGUAAAGCUCUUUCACCCGUGAAGAUAAUGACGGUAGCGGGAGAAGAAGCCCCGGCUAACUCCGUG
rnacentral:rRNA from 1 species